rnacentral:pre_miRNA from 1 species
ACGUGAAUUACCUGGUAAUCUUGUUAUAAAGCAGAUUCUGAUUCAUUAGGCCUGAGUUGGGACCUAAGGUUCUGAAUUUCUAGCAAGCUACCAGGUGAUGCUGAU